rnacentral:rRNA from 1 species
AUUGAACGCUGGCGGCAGGCCUAACACAUGCAAGUCGAACGAGUGGCGGACGGGUGAGUAAUGGCUGGGAAACUGCCUGAUGGAGGGGGAUAACUACUGGAAACGGUAGCUAAUACCGCAUACCCUCGGAUGUGCCCAGAUGGGAUUAGCUAGUAGGUGGGGUAACGGCUGACCUAGGGGACGAUCCCUAGCUGGUCUGAGAGGAUGACCAGCCACACUGGAACUGAGACACUGUCCAGACUCCUACGGGAGGCAGCAGUGGUGAAUAGUGCACAAUGGGCGCAAGCCUGAGGCAGCCAUGCCGCGUGUAUGAAGAAGGCCUUCGGGUUGUAAAGUACUUUCAGCGGGGAGGCGUUACCCGCAGAAGAAGCACCGGCUAACUCCGUGCCAGCAGCCGCGGUAAUUC